UCAAUUAAUCUUUAAGAUUGUUAUUUCGGUCGCCACCGUAUUUUUGAUAGUUUGAAACAAUGAUACAUCAAUAAGAGACAUAUAAAUAGACCAUCAAUGCAAUAACAAUGAAGUAAGAACUUAUUGGCACAUCAAUAAAGUGUUUUGGAGUCAUCAAUGCCAUAACAAUGAAGUAGGAACUUAUUGGUAUAUCAAUGAAACAUUUUGGAGUCAUUAAUAGCACA
rnacentral:lncRNA from 1 species